CCUACGGGAGGCAGCAGUGGGGAAUAUUGGGCAAUGGAGGAAACUCUGACCCAGCGACGCCGCGUGCGGGAUGAAGGCCUUCGGGUUGUAAACCGCUUUCAGUAGGGAAGAAGCGAAAGUGACGGUACCUACAAAAGAAGCACCGGCUAACUAUGUGCCAGCAGCCGCGGUAAUACAUAGGGUGCAAGCGUUGUCCGGAAUUAUUGGGCGUAAAGAGCUCGUAGGUCGUUUGUUACGUCGGAUGUGAAAACCUGAGGCUCAACCUCAGGCCUGCAUUCGAUACGGGCAAACUAGAGUUUGGUAGGGGAGACUGGAAUUCCUGGUGUAGCGGUGGAAUGCGCAGAUAUCAGGAGGAACACCAAUGGCGAAGGCAGGUCUCUGGGCCAAUACUGACACUGAGGAGCGAAAGUCUGGGGAGCGAACAGGAUUAGAUACCCUGGUAGUCCAGACCGUAAACGGUGGGCACUAGUUGUGGGAACCUUCCACGGUUUCUGCGACGCAGCUAACGCAUUAAGUGCCCCGCCUGGGGAGUACGAUCGCAAGAUUAAAACUCAAAUGAAUUGACG
rnacentral:rRNA from 1 species